rnacentral:lncRNA from 10 species
GUCUCAGGGGUAACAGAGGCAGAAGAGAAUCCGCAUAUAAGUGGACCUGCGCAGUUCAAACCUGUGUUGUUCAAGGAUCAGCUGUACAUUUUGGUGAUGAAAUAAUUUUGUAUUUAGAAAUACGGCCUUUAUCUCUGUAGCACUUUCUAGUUGAUAUUGUGCUUUUCCAUAUAUUCCGUAUAUUCAUGUAAUCCCUACAUACACUUUCUAGGUAGAUCACUGGAGCGGUCAGUCCAGUGGGGAGGCUAGGAGUGCAGACCUGGAGCCACGCUCCCUGGGUUUGUGUCCAGCUCUGCCACUUCCCAGCUGGGUGACCUCGGGCGUGUGGCUGACUCCCUCUUGUGCUUCAACAGCACCUACUUCAGAAGGGUGUUGCAAGGAUUGAAUAAGUUAAUUCAUGUAAAGUUCUAAGAACUGGCACAUAAAAAAUGUUGAUUAAUAUUAGCUAUUACUAUAAAUUAUUUUUAAAGCUUCUCAUCCUUUGAUGUUUUCAAAAAUGAAUACCUAAUUUCAGAGGGAUUGUAUGUGAAGUCCAUAUUUCACUGUUUUUAAAUGUUUCCCUGCCUCCCCCACCCUGCCUCUGGUUCCACCCUGUCCCGGUCCCUCUUCCUAGUGCUGCCCAGACUGGGUCACCAAACAGGCCUGUCUGACGGAACCCUUGUCACCUUUGUGGAGAAUUCUCUUUGGGCCCUGCCUGGAAGUAAGAGCCACGGAGCCUGCCCAGGUGCCCCUUCUCCUCCUUUCCCCAUGACCUGGGCUUCUGCAUUCCCUGCAGCAGUGGAGAUGUGGUGUGGCUACCAUGCUUCCCCCGAGCUCUGUGCCUGCUGCCCCAUUCUGCUCAGGAGCCUCUUCCUGCGGGGACCCUCUGGUGCUCUGGCCUCACCUCUGUGGCUCGUCCUCUCUGAUGCCUCCUCCUCCCCAGAGAGGGCGUUCAUCUCUGGUCCCAUGCUCCUCUGUUAGUCUCCACUAGUCAAAGGCAGAGGUGAUGUUUCCCGCCUCCCUGUAAUCCCAGCACCUAGUAGCGUGCCCAGCAAGUGAAUCUCUUUGUCAGGUAGUUAAGACAGUGGAUUAAUAUGAAAUAAAAAUAUCCCUUUGGCGAUUCUUUUGGUCACACUGUGUUAUCUCCUCCAGGCAGGAAAAAUACUAUUGUAUUACAAGGCUCGGACCAAAGACAUCCUGAUUCGAUUCACUGCUUGGUGUUGUAUUCUUGUAAGUAAGCAGCAUUCCUCGCUAAAAUUCCUUUCCUUCACAUGUAUAGAUAUUUAAAAGGAAUAAAAUGUUUAGCAACACUGAGCUAGCCAUUGUCACCACAUGGCAGCAGGUACCAUUUUCUUCACUUGAAUAACAGAGAGGAACAAAUCUUUCCACCUAAAUGCACAGAUUUAUUUUCUUAGGAAAAUGUCUUUAUCAAUAAGGCAGUGUUUGCCAUCAGAUAGCCAGGAAUGCCUGAAGAAAUGUGAGGUAUGGGCUCUGUGUGGAGAGGCGUAUCAGAGAGACUGGGCAAAUCAGACCAGGUUGCAGACAUCAACUUCCAGAUUAUAUGGGAAAGAGAGUUGCAAGGUUGACUGUUUGUUCAUUUCAUCCUGACCGCAGCCAUGCCUCCUCUUCAGAGUCACUGUCAUUUAAUCAGUAAGCUUACCCUCUUCAACUCAGUAGAAUGGUGAAGAGAUUUUGGGAGAGUAUUUUUCAGUUCAUACAUUUAAAAAAAUAUGUUUCCAUUUAAAAGAGAAAAAUAUAAGGCACAAGUUUCAGCCCUCUCUACGUGAUUAAAUAACUAAUAUAUAUUGGUGUUGAAACCAAGUGUUUUCUGAGAUAAUAAUAUAAAAUGUUAACAUCCUUCUCUUCCCCAUUACAGGGGCUCAUUUCUGUUGCUCUGACGAAGGUUUCUGAAAAUGAAGGCUUUAUUCCAGUAAACAAAAAUCUCUGGUCCCUUUCGUAUGUCACUACGCUCAGUUCUUUUGCCUUCUUCAUCCUGCUGGUCCUGUACCCAGUUG